rnacentral:snRNA from 1 species
UCACUUAACUGGACGGGGUCAAUUGGCGAUUAAUAAGUUCAUGGCCUAAUGGAUGACCUCUUUGAAAGGUCCUUACCCAAGGUCGAUCCAAGUCGUCGAGCUUACGUCAGAAUUUAUGGUGGCGGGAGCUUGGUUUAUGCAGCUCCUA